rnacentral:tRNA from 1 species
GACAGAGUGGUAGAGUCAGGUCAAAUACAAUGGAUUCAAAACCCAUUAUCGUAGGGUUGCAAGGGUUCGAAUCCCUUCUCUGUCA